AUUGAACGCUGGCGGCAGGCCUAACACAUGCAAGUCGAACGAGUGGCGAACGGGUGAGUAGUGUGUGGGAAACUGCGUGAUGGAGGGAGAUAACUUGUGGAAACGGUCUCUAAUACCGUAUACCCUGGGAUGCGCCUAGAUGGGAUUAGCUAGUAGGUGGGGUAACGGCUCACAUAGGCGACGAUCCCUAGCUGGUCUGAGAGGAUGACCAGCCACACUGGAACUGAGAAACGGUCCAGACUCCUACGGGAGGCAGCAGUGGGGAAUAUUGCACAAUGGGCGCAAGCCUGAUGCAGCCAUGCCGCGUGUAUGAAGAAGGCCUUAGGGUUGUAAAGUACUUUCAGCGGGGAGGCGUUACCCGCAGAAGAAGCACCGGCUAACUCCGUGCCAGCAGCCGCGGUAAUUC
rnacentral:rRNA from 1 species